CCGUAGCCUGGUAGCGGGGGAUAACUAUUGGAAACGAUAGCUAAUACCGCAUAACAGUAGAUGUUGCAUGAUAUCUGCUUGAAAGGUGCAAAUGCACCACUACCAGAUGGACCUGCGUUGUAUUAGCUAGUUGGUGAGGUAACGGCUCACCAAGGCGACGAUCAGUAGCCGGACUGAGAGGUUGACCGGCCACAUUGGGACUGAGAUACGGCCCAG
rnacentral:rRNA from 1 species